rnacentral:lncRNA from 1 species
GAUUUUCACAACUGGAAUUGAUAAGUAUAGAGGAAGCUCCAGCCUGAGAUGGGGGAUUGAACGUCAUGUUUGAAGGGCUGUCCAGUCCUAGCGUCGAUAGCAAGGGACCAAGAUUUAUAACUUUAAAUCUCUCAAGCCAUCUAAAAAGCAAAGAGGUAAGACGCGUGCUCCCCCUUUGCCUUCUGCCAUGAGUAAAAGCUCCCUGAGGCCUCCCCAGAAGCAGAUGUUCUCAUGCUUCCUGUACAGCCUGCAGAACUAUGAGCCAAUUAAACCUCUUUUCUUUGUAAAUUACCCAGUCUCAGGUAUGUCUUUAGAGCAAUGAGAGAACAGACUAAUACACACAGCGAGGCCAAAGGCCACCUGCCGCAGUGCACAGCCAGGAGGCGACAGCAAGAAUGGAGAAGAAAUACAGGGGUUGGUUGUGAAGGAAAUCUAAGGGACUUGGUAACGGAUGUAACGGGGAGCAGGAAGAGAUGGUUAGUACAUUAGUCAGCUCAGGCUGUCAUAACAAAGUUCCUUAGACUGGGUGGAUUAAACAACAGAAAUGUGUUACUCACAGUUCUGGAGACUGGAAGCCCAAGAUCAAGGUGUCAGCAGGGCUGGUUUCCUCUAAGGCCUCUCUCCUUGGCUUGUGGACGGCAUCUUCCCCCUUCGUCUUCACACGGUCCUUCCUCUGUGUGUCUGUGUCCUAAUAUCCUCUUCUUAUGGAACACCAGUCAGACUGAAUUAAGGCCUACCCAUAUGACCUCAUUUUAUCUUAAUCAUGUCUUUAAAGGUCCUGUCUCCAAAUACAGUCACCUUGAAAAGUAAUGUGGGGUUAGGACUUCAACAUAUGAAUUUGGGGGUGGGGGUGGACAAUUCAUCCCUUAAGAGUUAGCAAUAUUAUGGUAGGUUUGAUUCCAGAAAGACUGUGUUUGAGGUGAUGGCCACACAUCCCAAGUAUGAACAUCCAGCAGGUGUAUCACAGACCUGGGCAUAAACUUCAGGAGAGAGGCCUUGGCUACAAGAGACUAGAAGAUCCUGCUUGUCUGCCCUACUUCAGCAGGGCAUCCCACAGUGUGUGCUGUCUGGGAAAAGCACAGGCAUGGCAUCUCACCCUAGGUGUGCAAGCUCAGAAACUCAAUCAUAUCUAUUCAAGUGGUGAGCAAGCCCCCCAUCAGUCAGUUCUCUUGCUGAGCCAACCCAAAAGAGGCUGCUUUAUAAAAGAGAGUGUCUAUUUAAUAAUUUACCCACAGAGAUUCCUGGCAGGAUAAUGCACACCAGUCAUUUCCAUGGGACAUGCCUUUUUGUGGACUACUUGGCUGUCUACCCUUUCCGCCUCCCUGUCACCCCCCAACUGAUAAUAAGCUUUCUGUGGCUUGGGACUAUGUCCCACUCAAUUUCAUAGCCCUGUUCAUUCAGUCCUAAAUGUACCUUACUAAUAUGUGUAUCCUCCCAGCAUCUAACACAGUUUCUUUCAGGGGGCAGGUGGUCAAUAAAUACGCAUCAAUAGUUAGGCAGAGAAAUGGGUACUGAUCUCUAACAGGUGCACAGUAGUUAAGAGCACAGACUUCUAUGAUCUGCAUCUUGUCUUUACCAAGUAUUAGCUGUCUGACCCUCCCUGAGUAGAAUUAGCUACUCCAUGCCUCAGUUUCCUCAUCUUAUCCAAUAAGGGUGAUACUUUUAUCAUCCACCUCAUCAAGUUGUUAUGAGCAUUAAAUGAGUUAAUAUAUGUAGAGGGCUUGGAGUAGCACAUGGUGCACAGUCGACCUAUAUGGGUGCUGGGAAUUGUUUAUAUCCAUCACUUGCUUGACACAUUACCUAGGUUGUCUCAUUAAACCUCCAAACAAUGGUUUGAGGUGGAUGUUGCCAUCCCACCCUAAACAGGAGGAAGCCACAUCCGAUAAAGGUAAGUAACAUCCAGAUGACUACACAGCUGGCAGGCGGCAGAAACAGAAGGUGAGCUCAGAAGGGCUGAGUCUCAUGCCCAUUCUCUUCCCACUGCACCAUAAGAGAAUUCUCACUCAAGAAUGUUCCCAGCCUCAGCCAGAUGCGGUGGCUCACACCUGUAAUCCCAGUAUUUUGGGAGGCCAAGGCGGGAGGAUCAUGAGGUCAGGAGAUCGAGGCCAUCCUAGCUAACACUGUGAAACCCUGUCUCUACUAAAAAUACAAAAACAAUUAGCUGGGCGUGGUGGCACGCGCCUGUAGUCCCAGCUACUUGGGAGGCUGAAGCAGGAGAAUCACUUGAACCCAAGAGGCAGAGGUUGCAGUCAGCCGAGAUCACAUCACUGCACUGCAGCCUAGGUGACAGAUCAAGACUCCAUCUCAAAAAAAAAAAAAAAAAAAAAAGAAUGUUCACAGCCUGUCACAGAGAACCCAAUAGGCACUAAGAGUCAGGAGGUGAAGCCAAUACAGCAUCAAGAUCUACCCAAAUAUAAGGGGGUUCAGAGAUGUGAUUGUGUCCCAAACUCUACCCUAUAUGGUUGCAAUGCUACGUACUGUAUCAACGGCACAUCCAAGCUAAAAAGCUUUUCAUGUGCAUCAUCCAGAAGGCGUCCCUAGCAUUCAGGGGCCCAAAAUGUCCCCCUUGGCACUCAGCUGAACCAUCAGCAUGCCAGCAAUACCUAUGUAACUCCUACAUCUGGAAAGCAGAUGACAGCUGGGCUCUCAGCAGCUGGUCAGCAAAGUAGACUGUGACUAGGACAGGUUGUCACUGUGCCUUAGAGAAUCCUAAGCAUUCCUUUAGUUCUGGGAUGACAAACAGACAGUGUCUGUGCUAACUGUAAUUAAUUAAAAGUGAUUGUCUAGAAUCUGUGUUUUCCAAAGAAUUCCAUGGCUAAGACUGGGCUCAGUAGAGAAGAGCUCCACUGGGCUCAGUAGAGAAGAGUUUCAUGGUUGACUAGUGAUGUCUGCCCAGAAUACAAGAGGGAGAGGAGAACACUAGAUGAAGGUUUUCCAACCCUUCCUCAGGCCAAGUCACCUUGUGAUAUGGUUUGGCUCUGUGACCUCACUCAAAUCUCAUCUUAAAUUGUAAUCCCCACGUGUCGAGGGGGGACCUGGUGCGGGUGACUGCAUCAUGGGAGUGGUUUCCCCAUACUGGUCUUGUGAUAGUGAGUGAGUUCUCACAAGAUUUGAUGGUUGAAAGGUGUGUCGCAGUUCCCCACUCUCUCUCGCUCUCCUGCCAUCAUGUUAAAUGUGCCUUGCUUUCCCUUCACCUACCACCAUGACUAUAAGUUUCCUGAGGCCUCCCCAGCCAUGCAGAACUGUCCACUACACCGCUUCUUUUUAUAAAUUACCCAGUCUCAGGUGGUUUUUUAUAGCAGUGUGAAAACAGACUAAUACAUCUUUCAUUCACUUAGGUAUUGAAGAAGCACCUGGUAUCCACAUACUACCAUACUAGAACAUGAAAACAUGUAUAUGACAUGGUCCCUGCCUUCAAGAAAAGACACACAGAGGUGAGAAGCCAAACAAAAAUAUAAAUACAAGCCAAGCAUGGUGGCUGCUGACUGUAAUCCCAGAGCUUUGGAAGGGUGAGGCAGGAGGAUCAUUUGAGCCCAGGAGUUCGAGGCUGCAGUGACCCAUGAUCAUGCCACUGCAUUCCAGCCCAGGUGACAGAGUAAGACCCCAUCUCAAAUAAAUAUACACACACACACACACACACACACACAAAUUGCGUGUUAAGCAUGGGGAAAAUUCUCUUUUAAAACCCUGUCUACUCAGUUUUUUAAAGGUUGGGGUCUUCAAGGACUCAUUUUUCUCAACAUGCCUUAAAAGUACUGUCAGUUGGUGGCCAGGCGCGGUGGCUCACACCUGUAAUCCCAGCACUUUGGGAGGCCGAGGUGGGUGGAUCAUGAGGUCAGAACAUCCAGACCAUCCUGGCUAAUAUGGUGAAGCCCUGUAUCUACUAAAAAAUUAGCUGGGCGUGGUGGCAGGCACCUGUAGUCCCAGCUACUUGGGAGGCUGAGGCAGGAGAAUGGCAUGAACCCGGGAGGCGGAGCUUGCAGUGAGCCGAGAUCGCGCCACUGCACUCCAGCUGGGGCAACAGAGCGAGACUCCGUCUCAAACAAACAAACAAAAAGUACUGUCAUUUGGUUAACAGCUGCCUUUUAUGGAGGCCAAGCUAUGCAAACCAAACUAUGAAAAACUUUAAGAGUAAAAGGGACCCUGGAUGCCAUUUAGCUUGGUCACUUGCCACUACAGAAGCUCCUUCAGCAACAACCCAGCAUGCUUGCUCAGUGCCUUCAUCCUCCAGCUGAGGAAGGCUGCCCACUCCAGCCUGAUCAACCAUGAUUGCUAGAAAGUGUUUCCUUGGAUUUCACCAAAAUCCUCUUUCUCUCAUUUCCAUCCAGCUGUCCUAAACUCUGUCUUUCAGGGCCAUACAGAACACAAACAACCCCUGCUCAACAUGACAGUUUUUCUAAUCUCUAAAGACAGUUUUCAUAUUGCCCCUCAGUCUUCCCUACUGCCAGUUAAACAGCCCAGGACUUCUAACUAUUUUCCAGAUGACAUGGUUUCAGAUCACCUAACGUCCUCUGGGUUCCCUUUUUUGGGUCAUCUUUCAUCUUCUCAACUCAGAGAGGAUUUUAGGCUCUAUUUAGAUUCCUCCUCCCUUAUCCUAUUGUCAGAAAUUGCCUCCAGGUAGAAAGCCAAGGCAAUUAUAGGGUUCUUUUCACUUAUGUCCAUUUUCCCAGGGAUCACAAACAUGUACUUCCUGAAAUAAGUUAUUUUAUGUAUCUUGUCCACUUUCUAGUUACUCACAGUGGGAGGAUAAGUCUGGUUCUUGUUAUCACAUUAUGGCUGAAAGUGGACAUCCACACAUGUUCAAACAAAGCUUUCAACAUUUUACCAUUAACUGUGAUAUUAUAAAUGUUCCCCUUAACACUGGGGGCAAGCAAGGGUGCUUGAUACCACCAUGUCCUUACAAAAUUAUACUGGAGUUCCUAGUGAACGCAGUAACGCAUAAAAAAACAUGAAGAUUGGAAAUGAAGGAAAAAAAAUCUGUCAUCAUUUGCAGUUUGCAUGUUUGUCUAGAUAAAAAUCCCAAAAUAUCUACACAAAAAUCCUAAAGUAUAUACAUUUAAAAUGAACCUUUAAAAAAAUGUGAUGGCAUAAAAUACUACUAAUGAUAGCAACAGAAAAUGUAAAGUACCCAAAAAUAAAGCUAACCACAAAUAGAAAAGACCUCUAUAGAGAAAAUUAUAAAAACUUUACUUAAAGAAAUCAAGGACUUAAGAGACAUACAAUGUUCAUGGAUCAGAAGAUUCAAUAUUACAAAGAUGAGAAUUCCCCCCACUUGAUACACGGUUUCAAUGGAGUUAUGAUCAAAAUUCUGGCAGAGCUUUUUUGGUACUUAACAAGUUGAUUAUAAAAUUAUUAUAAUCUGGCCAGGUGCGGUGGCUCACACCUGUAAUCCCAGCAGUUUGGGAGGUUGAGGCAGGCAGAUCACAAGGUCAGGAGAUCAAGACCAUCCUGCUAACAUGGCAAAACCCCAUCUCUACUAAAUAUACAAAAAAAUUGGCCAGGCGUGGUGGUGGGCGCCUGCAGUUCCAGCUACCUGGGAGGCUGAGGCAGGAGAAUGUCGUGAGCCCAGGAGGCGGAGCUUGCAGUGAGCUGAGAUUACGCCACUGCACUCCAGCCUGGGCAACAGAGCGAGACUCCGUCUCAAAAAAAAAACAAAAUUAUUAUAAUCUCUACUAAUUAAGUUAGUGGGUAUUGGUAUAGGGAUAUUCAAAUAGAGAAAUGUAACUGAAAAGAGAGGCAUGAAAGAGAACCACGUAUAUAGAGAAACUUAGUUUAUGAUGGAGUUGGCAUUGGAGAUUAAUGUGAAAAGGACAGAUAUUUCAGUAAUUGGUUAGCCACAUGGGAAAUAAAAAGAAAUGUGAUUCUGUGUUAGCCAUGUUGCUGCAAUUUUGCUGUGCAGCAAACAACUUCCAAAUCUCAGUAAGAUAUAACGACAAACAUAUAUUUGUCACACAGAGGUCUAUAAGUCACACAGAGGUCAGAUCAGGUCUACUCCACAUGUCUCUCAUUCUCUGACCCAAGCUGAAGGAGUGUGGCCACCCGGGGCAUGCACUUCUCAUGUUGCAGGUAAGGAAUACACGAGAGUAAAUCAAACCACACAUUUAAAGUUUCUUAUUGGGUGGGACAUACAUUAUAUCUGCUCACAUUCUAAUCACCAAAACAAGUCACGUGGUUAAGCUAAAAGACAGUGGGGAAGUGGAGUAUAUUCUGCUCAAAAUGAAUCAUGGCACAGGCAGGAAGGAAAGAAAGAAUUGUGAGCAAAUAAUACAAAUUACUACAGAUUCUACCUCACACCAUACCAAAAAAAUCAAUUUGAGGAGGCUUAAAGACAUAACUUAUGAAACAUUUAAGAGACUAUAUAGGAGAAAAUCUUUAUGUUCUUAGAGUAAAAAGGAAAUUCACAAAUAUGAAACAUAAAACAGAAACUAUAAAAGACUGAUAAUUUUAAUUGAGCUGCUAUUCAUAAGAAAUUCAAAGUGAGAUAAGACAUUCACAAUAUAUAUCAGUGGCAAAGAAUUAGCAUUCAGAAAACACAAAGUACCCCUAUAAAUAAAUAAGGAAAAAAUAGACCUAUUCACACCAGGAACUUGGUAUUUGACAGAAUGGCAUCACAAAUCAGUGAGGAAAAUCUGGAUUAUUCAAUACAGGGUGCUGAUACAACUGGCUGUCUACAUGGGGAAAGAUAAAAUGAGAUCCCUACUUCAGUCUAUAUGCCAAGAUAAAUUCUAGAUAAUUUUAAAAGAUAAAUAUGAAAAGCAGCAUUUUAUAACUUUAAAAGAAAAUGCAGCAUAUCAUUAUUACAUUGAUAGUGUUUUCAAUGAAUAUUGAAAAGAGAAGUCAUAAAAGUUGGUAAGUUUGGCUACAUUUUUAAAAAAACUUAUAUAAGUCAAAACACUCCUGGCCAAGCACUGUGGCUCACACCUGUAAUCCCAGCACAAUGGGAGGCCAAGGUGGGCAGAUCACCUGAGGUCAGGAGUUCCAGACCAGCCUGACCAACAUGGUGAAACCCCAUCUCUACAAAUAUACACAAAUUAGCCAGGCAUGGUGGUGCACACCUGUGCACCACCAGAGCGAGAUUCCCUCUAAAAAGAACAAACCAAACAAACAAAAAACUCCCUAAACAAUGUUAAAAGUGAAGUUAUAGAGCAGAAUUUUUUUUUUUUUUGGAGACGUAGUCUCGCUCUGUCGCCCAGGCUGGAGUGCAGUGGUGCGAUCUCGGCUCACUGCAACUUCUGCCUCCCGGGUUCAAGUGAUUCUCCUGCCUCGGCCUCCCGAGUAGCUAGGACUACAGGUGCAUGCCGCCCGGCUAAUUUUUUGUAUUUUAAUAGAGAUGGGGUUUCACUGUGUUGCCCAGACUGGUCUCGAAUGCCUGAGCUCAGGCAGUCCACCCACCUCGGCCUCCCAAAGUUCUAGGAUUACAGGCAUGAGCCACCCCGCCAGGCCUUUUUUUUCUUUUUUUUUUCUUUUUGAGACAGAGUCUCGCUCUGUUGCCAGGCUGGAGUGCAGUGGCACGAUCUCAGCUCACUGCAACCUCUGCCUCCCAGGUUCAAGCGAUUCUCCCGCCUCAGCCUCCCAAGUAGCUGGGAUUACAGGCACCCGCCACCAUGCCCAGCUAAUUUUUGUAUUUUUGUAGAGACGGGUUUCACCAUGUUGGCCAGGCUAGUCUUGAACUCUUGACCUCAGGUGAUCCACCCCCUUUGGCCUCCCAAAGUGCUGAGAUUACAGGCAUGAGCACUGCACCUGGCUGGAAGAUUUUUUUUUUUUCUUUUUUUGAGACAGUCUCACUCUGUCACCCAGGCUAGAGUGCAGUGGUGCAAUCUCGGCUCACUGCCAGCUCCGCCUCCCAGGUUCACGCCAUUCUCCUGCCUCAGUCUCCCAAGUAGCUGGGACUACAGGCGCCCGCCACCAUGCCCGGCUAAUUUUUUGUAUUUUUAGUAGAGACGGGGAUUCACCGUGUUAGCCAGGAUGGUCUCGAUCUCCUGACCUCGUGAUCUGCCCGCCUCGGCCUCCCAAAGUGCUGGGAUUACAGGCGUGAGCCACCGCGCCCAGCCGCCAGAAGAUAUUUUUAACAUGCCAAGAAGACAAAGGUUAAAUAUCCAGAAUAUUUCAAAGAUGUCCUAUACGCACUACAAAACACUGCUGAAGAGAGCUUGGUGCAUUUGAAGAACAACAAAGUGUUUGUUGUGGUUGUAGCAGAGUGGGGUGUGUGUGUGUGUGUGUGUGUGUGUGUGUGUGUGUGUGUGUGUGUUACUCCCGUCUUUACAUGAUAAAUUCCUUUGACUUAGAAUGCCCUUUCACCAUUUUGUUCCUGGAGUUAGAAACUACCUCAUGAAAAUUAGCAUGACCUUCCUUUAUGCUUCUCUGGUUUGUAUUAUAUUCUCUAUUGACAAAUUUUAAAAUAUUAUAAUUCAUUGAGAGUACCAUUUUGCCUCCCCCUACUCCCUACUCCAAAUAUGAGUUUUUCCUGUUUGAUUAAACAGCCAUUGAGCAUCUGUCACAGAUCCAGCUCUGUUCUAGGUACUUUAGAAUAAAGAUGAAUGCUUGGUUGUUUCCAGGCUAUGCUGUAAAUUCUAAGGAAGGGGGUUAAGGACAGGAUUCUUGGAGGCAGUAUGAUGUGAUCCCAGAGACAGGAGAUAGGAAAAAGAUAAGCACAUGUUCUAGAUGUGUUUAAAUUCUCAUCAAAUAGGAGGCGACGCCAUUCUCUGAUGAGGAAGGAGAUAUGAAAUCAGACACCCAAAGAGGCUUUCCAGAGGACAUCCUAACUUUUGAUAGAUGUUUCCACCAUCUGGGUGGUGUCCUCUUCUCCAUCCCUCUGUUUUCUCAGAAGCAGCUGCUGGGGUCCCAGAGGGAUGCACACAGUGGCUAUAGGUGCUCACAGAUCCACAGUGAAACACUCUUAUCUAACCCUGGAAGGUUUUGCUGCUUGAAAACCUUUAUGCCUUCAUCCUAAGAUACAAGGUUGCAAAUAGCACCAAGAGCUGGAAACAGAUGCCAGCUGAAACCUAAGAACAGACACAGUGCAUGAGCAGUGUCCUACCAGGACCACCACUCGGCUCUUGGCAGUGGCAGCCCUCCUCCUGGCUUCUGGCAAUGACCAUCAGUUGCUUCAUCUUCUGAAAAGGAAAACUACCCAGUUGGCCAAGCCAGAUCUCCAGGAAUGAGGUGUCUCUGUCUCCUGCUUUGAGAUCAGUCCUUCCACUGCUCCAUCCAGGGAGCCCCAGAGAAAGUAAUGUGUGAGUUGAACACACUGGAAAUCUGUACCUAGCACAGGUCAGCAGUUGAAAACAGCAUGUAUACAAUGGCUUUCACCUACACUGUUAAAAGGCGGGCACAUGCCCAAUAAAUGUUUAUUGAGUGCCAUUAGGUGCCCGGCACUGGGUCAUGCACUGACAAUGGGAAGGCGAAUGACAAAGAUAGGCUUCCUGCUGUCAUAGCGUUUACAGACAGCUGGAAGCGUGUGAUGGUUAAUUUUUUGUGUCAACUUGGCUAGUACUGAGUUAUUUAAUCAAACACUAAUGUAGGUGUUGUUUGCUUUGAAGCUAUUUUAUAGAUGUGGCUAACAUCUACAAUCUGUUAACACUGAGUAAAACAGAUUGCUCUUUUACUGUGUGGGAAUGUCUCAGCCAGUCAGUUAAAGGCCUUAUGAACAAAACUAAGAUUUUCCUGAGGAAGUAGAAAGUUGACCUCAAGAUUGCAACAUCAGCUCCUGCUUGAGAGUUCCAGCCUGCUGGCCUGCCCUACAGAAUUUGGAUUUGUCAGUUCCCACAACUGUGUAAGCCAACUCCUUGAAAUAAAUCUCUCUCCGUGUGUGUGUGUGUGCAUGUGUGUGUGCAUGCACGCGUGUGCAUGCGCCCACGUUCAUCUCUGGCACGAGACCCACAUACAAAGGUGGUGUCCUAAGGUGUAUGAUUGGGGAAACUGCAUGUGGUGCUUAGCACUGUAAGCCUAAGGCAGACUGUCCAGAUAGGAACCUUGGAUCCAUCAUGUACUAGAUGCACCAUGACCUUGGGUCAACUCCUACAUUCUCUAACCCUCAGUUUCCUCAUCUGUAAAAUGGUGGUAGUAUCUCCCUCACACGGUCAUUGCAAAGAGUCAAAGAGAUUAAGUAUCUCAUGAUAUUUAAGAAGUUAAAUGCCCAUGACCAACACAGCAAGUAAGUAUGAAGCCAGGAUUUAAACUCAUGUUUGUCUGCACUGCGUAUGCCCUUUACCCGCUGCCAUAUCACCUUGGUCUUUGGGAAUUACACUUCAGUUAUCAGCUCUUUAACAGACACAGUUGCUGUAGACCACUCCUACAUUGUUACAGCUUCAACUCUGCUCUACAGAGAUGCCUCUUAAAUGUAUACCUUUGGCCUAAUCCUGAGGUUGAGUUCCAGGUUUCCACUGCACUUUGCUAAUUUGAUAUGCUCCAUUGGCUUCAAAUCUGACAUAUCUUAAAUUCAAGCUCAUCAUCGAAGCCUCACCAUUGACAAGUCCUGGCUUCACCUCUCUCUAGUUAUAUGACCCCAGGAAAGCUACUGAUCCCCCAAUCCUCAGUUUCCUCACUUGUUAAAUGGCAGGGUUUGCCGAGAUCAGGAAGCCAGACACAUAGCACUCAUAGUUCUUCUUAUGUCUGACUGUGUCUACAGUACCUGUCUUGCUUGAUCUCUGGUACAUUGUGGGUAUUAUAUUGUACUUAUUUAUUCAGCAUCUAUUCAUUCCCUGGCACUGAUUUUGACUAAUUUCACAAUAAGAUGCAUGGAUUUAGUCCUAACUCACCACUUGUAGGAAAACCAUCAUUUCUUACUAAACCAAGUAAAUUGGCUGCUCCAGUAUGCGUUGGUUUCAUUUACAUCAUAUGUUAGUAUAUUGCCAUCUAGAGGACCAAGUGCAAGCUACAAGCAAGAGAGAACUGGGGCUUGGGGAGAAAGGCAACAUCCUAGAAGAAAUGUUUAAAAAACAUUAAGACUCAUUCGUAGCUGUGUUGGAUUUCAACAAUUAUGUGAAAAAAAUAAAUAACAGGAUGUGUUUUAACUAUAAAUUAGAAAUGAAUGCUAUAGUAAGUUACCGGCUCAUAAACUUAUGAUCUCUGUUAAAUAAAAUUUAUAGGAGGUCAUUGGUUUGAAGUAAGUUCCUGCACUAGGCCCCAGUAGACCAAACCAAAAUGGAGUUACUCACGGUAAAGUUCCAGGCCACCAAGCCAAAACUACAUUGUUAUCUGACCUUCCAAGAAAUCAGGAGCGAGAGGGAGAUAAUAGCCACAUCUCCGAACAGCCAGUUUUAGCCUGCCUGAUAAGGAAGUCCCCCUACUUUAACCUUCACAAGGAAAGUAACUUUGAAAAAACCAAUCCACUUUGUGUUCUUUGUUUCUGCAUUCUUCAGCCUUUUUCUGCCUGUAAAUACUCACUGCCCAUGUUUCAGAGCAAAGCCCAAUUCCCAUGAAUCAUUCUUUGCUCUGUUACAUUUAUUUUGUUUAAAGUUUUACUUCUAUCAUCUUUAACUUGUUCUAAACAAAAUAAAAAAUAAAAUGAAAUCAGCAUUCUUUCCUAUAAUUGACUGUUUUGCUGCAUUUGGAUUAUCCAUGCCAUAUACUAGAUGAGAAUCUAAAUUAAAAGAGGAGCCACUUAACUAGGGGUUAGCUCUCCUGACUGCUGCAACUUUAGCUUAGCAAUUCGGUUUUCCAUCUGAGCAAGUUACCAUUAUCGAGUGCUUACUGUGGGCUUGGGACUAUACUGAACAUUUUACAUGAGUUAUCUCAUUUAAUCCUCACAAGCUCCUUCCACCUCAAGAGGGUAAGUAUUUACUUGUGCUUAUGACUCUCAGCCUGCUGCUUCAUCUGUAAAAAUGGGAUAAGUGACUUUCUCAAAAUCUAAAAAAGGAUAUUGAACUGGAUCCACAACUCAGAUCUGCCUGAAUCAAAUACAAGUUCUUAAUGAUUACAGUUUACUAAAUACAACAGCUUCUGCAUUCUAAGAAUGUCACGAGGAUGAAACAAUUCGUGGAAAGCACUUUUUGGAGAAAAAACAAUGCUCGAAUGCUUACAUAACAGAAUGUUCACACAAAAAAUAGGUGUAAAGUGAUGUAUAUUCUAUUGGGAUAACCAAUCGCUUUACAAAAGCAUUCAGUAAGGAUUGCUUUUUCAGUAAACAUUAGUGGUAUCUUUUCUUUCAAUCUGAUUCCAGGUUUGUCAAUUUUGCUAAUCCUUUCAAAGAACCAACUUCUAGUUUUGUUGUUUUCUCUACUGUUUUUCAAGUCUUUAUGUUUUUUCUUUCCUUUCUAAUCUAUUAUUUCCUUCCUUCUGCUUACUUUGAUUUACUAGGGUCAUCUUCUAGUUUCUUAAGAUGAAAGGUGAGACUUGAUUUGAGAUCUCUUGUUUAAAAAAAAUAAGUGUUUACUGUUACGGAUUUCUCUAUAAACACUGUUAUAUAUGCAUCCCAUAAGUGUUGGUAUGUUGUGUUUUCAUUUUCAUUAAUCUCAAAGUAUUUUCUAAUUUCCCUUGUGAUUUCUUCUUUGACCCACUGGUUAUUUAGCAGUAUGUUGUUUAAUUUUCACAUCUUUGUGAAUUUCCCAAAUUCCCUUGUGUUGUUCAUUUCUAAUUUAAUUCCAUUUUGACCAAAGAUUAUACUUUGUAUGACUUCGAUUAUUUUAAAUUUAUUGAAGCCUGUUUUAUGGCCUAACAUAUAGUCUAUCGUGGAGAAUGUUCCAUGUUCAUUUGAGUAGAAUGUGUAUUCUGCUGUUGUUGGACAGAGUCUCUACAGAUGUCUGUUGGGUUUUUUUGUUUGUUUGAGAUGGAGUCUCAUUUGUCACCCAGGCUGGAGUGCCGUGGCGUGAUCUUGGCUCACCGAAGCUUCCACCUCCCGAGUUCAUCCUGCCUCAGCCUCCCAAGUAGCUGGGAUUACAGGCAUGCGCCGCCACACCCAGCUAAUUUUUGUAUUUUUAGCAGAGACGGGGUUUCUCCAUGUUGGCCAGGCUGGUCUCGAACUCCUGACCUCAAGUGACCUGCCCGCCUCAGCCUCCCAAAGUGCUGGGAUUACAGAAAUCAGCCACCGUGCCUGGCAGAUUUAGUUUGUUUAUAGUGCUUUUGAAUCCUCUUUUUCCUAGUUAAUCAUCUGCCUACUUCUAUGCAUUAUUAUAAAUGAAGUGUUGAUGUCUCCAGCCACUAUUGUUAGAUUUUCUGACUUCUUUACCUUUAACUAGCAAAGCAACUCAGUUUUUCUUUCUAAAUAAGAGUUAUCAUUAUCAAGUGCUUACCGUGUACCUGGGACUAUGCUUACUCUUUUAUGUGGAUUAUCUCAUUUAGUUAUUAAUAAUUAUUAAGAGUAAAUUGUUAUGCCAGGCUCAGAGGCUCACGCCUGUAAUCCCAGCACUUUGGGAAGCCAAGGGAGGCAGAUCACUUGAGGUCAGGAGUUUGAGACCAGCCUGGCCAACAUGGUGAAAUCCUAUCUCUACUAAAAAUACAAAAAUUAGCCUGGCAUGGUGGUGCAGGCCUGUAAUCCCAGCUAAUCGGGAGGCUGAGGCAGGAGAAUUGCUUGAACCUGGGAGCUGGGGGUCGCAGUGAGCCGAGUCAGCGCCACUGCACUCCAGCCUGGGUGAUAGAGUGAGACUCUGUCUCAAAAAAAAAAAGUAACUUAAUUGUUAAUAAUUAUUCAAUAUGGAGAGUUUUGUCAGCUUUUGUUUCAUGUUGUGGGAUUUUUUAAGUGCAUAUUUGUUUUUAAGUGUUAUGUUUUUCUGAUGAAUUGGUCCUUUUACCAAUGUGUGAUGUCCUUCUUUGUCCCUUGAAACAGUUUUUGCCUUAAAAUCUACUGUUUGACAUUAGCAUAGUCACUCCAGCUAUCUUUUGAUUGCUGCUUGCAUGGUAUAUCUGUUUCUAUACUUUCACUUUCUACCUGUGUCUUUGAAUCUAAAGUGUGCCUCUUGUAGACAACAUAUAGUUGGAUCAUGUUUUUUGCCAAUCUGUUUUUUGUUUUUUGGGUUUUUUUUGGAUGGAGUCUCGCUGUCACCCACGCUGGAGUCCAGUGGUGUGAUCUCAGCUCACUGCAACCUCCGCCUCCUGGGUUCAAGUGAUUCUCAUCCCUCAGCCUCCAGAGUAGUUGGGAUUACAGGUGCCCACCACCACACCCAGCUAAUUUUUGCAUUUUUAGCAGAGAUGGGGUUUCACCAUGUUGGCCAGGCUGGUCUUGAACUCCUGACCUCAAGUGAUCCGCUC